GCCGACGUAGCUCAGCCGGUAGAGCGCGUCCUUGGUAAGGACGAGGUCACGGGUUCGAGUCCCGUCGUCGGCUCCA
rnacentral:tRNA from 1 species